GGAGACGUGGCCGAGUGGUCGAAGGCGGUUCCCUGCUAAGGAAUUAAACGUUAACGCGUUUCGAGGGUUCGAAUCCCUUCGUCUCCGCCA
rnacentral:tRNA from 2 species